rnacentral:rRNA from 1 species
GGGUUGUGAGGUUAAGCGACUAAGCGUACACGGUGGAUGCCCUGGCAGUCAGAGGCGAUGAAGGACGUGCUAAUCUGCGAUAAGCGCCGGUAAGGUGAUAUGAACCGUUAUAACCGGCGAUUUCCGAAUGGGGAAACCCAGUGUGACUCGUCACACUAUCAUUAACUGAAUCCAUAGGUUAAUGAGGCGAACCGGGGGAACUGAAACAUCUAAGUACCCCGAGGAAAAGAAAUCAACCGAGAUUCCCCCAGUAGCGGCGAGCGAACGGGGAGGAGCCCAGAGCCUGAAUCAGCAUGUGUGUUAGUGGAAGCGUCUGGAAAGGCGCGCGAUACAGGGUGACAGCCCCGUACACAAAAGCGCAUGUGUUGUGAGCUCGAUGAGUAGGGCGGGACACGUGGUAUCCUGUCUGAAUAUGGGGGGACCAUCCUCCAAGGCUAAAUACUCCUGACUGACCGAUAGUGAACCAGUACCGUGAGGGAAAGGCGAAAAGAACCCCGGCGAGGGGAGUGAAAAAGAACCUGAAACCGUGUACGUACAAGCAGUGGGAGCCCCACCACUAAGCCAGUGGUGAACUCCACAUACGCAUCCUUUGCUGAAGGUGCGGUUAACGGAGCGCAAGCGACGUUCAACC